CAUGUUCCCAGGCAUGUUAUUGGACCAUCCAGAAUUUGGCAUGCUUGGCGGUGGCGGGUAAUUGUUUGGUGGUGGUGGGCGGUAGCUGUUAGGUGGUGGUGCAUAGUUGUUAGGUGGUGGAGGUCCCCCCGAAUAGCUGUGAGGAGGUGGUGGUGGAGGUCCCCCCGAGUAGCUAUGAGGUGGUGGUGGAGGUCCAGCCGAGUAGCUGUGAGGAGGGGGUGGUGGAGAACCACCUGAGUAGUUUUGAGGAGGGGGUGGUGGAGGUCCAGCUGAGUAGUUUUGAGGAGCUGGUGGUGGAGGUCCAGCCGAGUAGUUGUGAGGCGGGGGUGGUGGAGGUCCACCUGGUCCACUCAUGUUUACUGCCUGAUUAUCCAUUGGAGCCGCUCUUGUGCUCUGAAAAUCUCGGUUCUGCAUGUUUUCCCUUCUUCUUUCAUAGUUUCUUGAGCGAUCAAAGUUCCGAGGCCUAUCAUUGCGCCUAUUUCUCUCAUUUGCCCUAGCAUUGUUCUUUAUCCAUUCCUCGUGGUACUUCGGAUCAUAAGGAACAGCUUGCCCAUUGAUGAAUGGCUCCCCUGAAAUAAACAGAUGAGAAAGUUGCAAUCCCUCAAAGCAGAAAGCAGGUACCAUAACAGCCAUAGGAAAAGAGGUUAUUUGAUAAUGUAGCAAGAAUUAUCUAACAGCAUGUCUAGAACCCAUGAUACAAUGCAAAAAAGACAAUGAGUGGGAUGAGAGGAUACAAAAUGUUUCCUACAAAAAUGCUACUGGCUUUAUCCUUUCAGGUGUUUAAAAAUGCAUUGAAACCAUUAUUUUUUCCUAAAAACCUUAUUAGACUCAAUUUCAGAACUAAUAAAAUCAAAUACCAAGAAAUACCAAGUGCUUUUACGAUCAAUUGUACUGUUACAGAUAAAACUAGAAAAAUAAAAAGACAAGUUUCAUUCAAACCAAUGCAUAUGACAUGAUAUUCUUCUUAAAACCUAGACAAAGUAAAGAUAACAUGGAUAUCUUGAAAUCCUAAAUUCAUUAUAACCCUAAAUCCUAAAUAGAUUCUAGCAGACAUGUUAAUGCCAGUAAGCAAAAAAGUGAACACCUCACCUCCAUAAUCUUUGUUUUUCACAUCCAAGUAUGAAUCAGGAAGAACCCAUCGAACCUUGGGCAACUCUGAGAGAAUGAGAAGAAGAAAAAAAAAAAAAAAACAAGAUAUCCAUCAGAGAUCAAAAAGCAAUUACAAAAAAUAACAGCAUAAGUUAAGCGCUUGGAAGCUAGAUGAACCUUUGAUCUUGUAAGAGAGCUCUUCAGACACAAGUGCUCCAAAUGCAUAGUAGCACCUGGUUGAAACUGAAUAGAUCUUCA
rnacentral:lncRNA from 1 species